rnacentral:rRNA from 1 species
GACGAACGCUGGCGGCGUGCUUAACACAUGCAAGUCGAACGGAAAGUCCCUGCUUUUGUGGGGUGCUCGAGUGGCGAACGGGUGAGUAACACGUGAGUAACCUGCCCUUGACUUUGGGAUAACUUCAGGAAACUGGGGCUAAUACCGGAUAGGAGCUCCUGCUGCAUGGUGGGGGUUGGAAAGUUUCGGCGGUUGGGGAUGGACUCGCGGCUUAUCAGCUUGUUGGUGGGGUAGUGGCUUACCAAGGCUUUGACGGGUAGCCGGCCUGAGAGGGUGACCGGCCACAUUGGGACGGAGAUACGGCCCAGACUCCUACGGGAGGCAGCAGUGGGGAAUAUUGCACAAUGGGCGGAAGCCUGAUGCAGCAACGCCGCGUGCGGGAUGACGGCCUUCGGGUUGUAAACCGCUUUCGCCUGUGACGAAGCGUGAGUGACGGUAAUGGGUAAAGAAGCACCGGCUAACUACGUG